UCUAUUGCUAGUUUAUGAAUGUUACCGUCAUGAGAAAUCAUGUUGGAUUUUAUCAAAUGCCUUUUUAUGUUUCUAUUAAGAUGGUCCUAUGACUUCCAUUUUUAGUCUAUUAAUAUAAUGUUAUGUUAUUCACAUUAACUGAAUUUUCUGAUAUUAAAACAACCUUAUAUUCCUGUAAUAAAUUCUACUUUUAUCUGGUAUAUAAUAUUUUUAUAUAUCACUGGGUUUGGCUUGCUAAUAAACUGUUGGGGACAUUGCUGCCACAUUCAUAAGAUAUACAGGUCUAUAGUUUUCUUUGCUUGUGAUGUCCUUGGCUUUGAUAACAUUACCAGUGUAAAAUCAACCUCACAAUUUUUUUUGGAGCUCACCAUUUUUUUU